AAGGUAUUCACUUUCUUGGUCUGAAUGUCAUACAUUUUCUUCAUUGCAUCCUUUAUCUUCUUUUUGUCAGCACGGAUGUCAACAAUGAAGACAAGAGUGUUGUUGUCUUCAAUUUUCUUCAUUGCAGACUCAGUUGUGAGGGGAUAUUUGAGGAUCUGGUACUGGUCAAGCUUGUUCCUGGGAGGGGCACUAAUGCGAGGGUACUUGGGAUUUCUUUCCUUCUUCAGUGUCCUUGGCCGGUGAAAUGUAACUGAUGUUCGUAUUUUCUUGGCUUUCUUCUUAAAAGUCCCUCCACCUGAU
rnacentral:lncRNA from 1 species